rnacentral:rRNA from 1 species
UACGUAGGGUGCGAGCGUUAAUCGGAAUUACUGGGCGUAAAGCGCACGUAGGCGGCUUGCUAAGUCAGGGGUGAAAUCCUGGAGCUCAACUCCAGAACUGCCUUUGAUACUGGCGAGCUUGAGUCCGGGAGAGGUGAGUGGAACUGCGAGUGUAGAGGUGAAAUUCGUAGAUAUUCGCAAGAACACCAGUGGCGAAGGCGGCUCACUGGCCCGGUACUGACGCUGAGGUGCGAAAGCGUGGGUAUCAAACAGG